UCUAUCUUCAAUAAGUUUAUCACAUAUAUAUUUUCUCUUCUAAAGUCAGUCAGGGGUACUACUUGUACAAGUAAUUUUAAUUUACUUUAAAAAAAAAUGUACACAUAUAAGUAAAUUAUAAUGUUUGAAUAAUCUCCCCUUAAUUUUCUAAAAAAAUCACUUGUUUAGGUUAAUUUUUCUUACAAUUUCCACAAAAAUUCUCAAGUUUUGAGAUAUAAAAUGAUGCCUUGAACAUGUUAAAUGAUUUUUCCUAGGUUACAUGUAGCUCAUAAUUUGUUAUUAGAGUUCAAUGUUUCAUGUCAUUAAUUCAACAAAGAAACUGAUUGGGCAAAGAUCUUAAGUAUUUGUGCAAGGCCUUCAAAAAUUGCUCCUUGGGGGCUUGUAAAUAAGCAGUGUUCUGAAGAUAACAGACAAAUGGGAUUUUUAUUGUCCAUGAAAUUACACUUAAAUGAUAAGUAAAGACAUCUGCAAAGGGCAGACAAUUUAAAAUUCUAUUAGACCAAAGAAAUUCUAAGAAUUCAAGAAAAGACAAUAGGAUGUCUUUUUUACUUAAAACAAGUGAAAAAUUCUGAAUGUCUAAGGGACACAACAACUAAGUCAAUAUGUUUUUUUUACCUAUACAAGUAAAUAAAAUGCACUUGUAUAAGUAUCCUACAAAUUAAUUUAUAUGUGUAUUUUUUUCUUCACUUCUUCAAGUAAGUAAUAAUUACUUCUUACUUCAAAUCCAUUAUUUCUAUCAAAGUUAUAGGGAAAAGUUUUAUUGAAAAUCAGAGAUUUGUUUUGCGUCUAGUCAGUUUUUGUAAUAACAACACUUUUCUUAAAUUUAGCAAUUACCUUAUAAUAGGGGAAGGAGGUGGGAGGCCAUUUUGUAUCUAUAAUUUUACAUUAUCAAAUUCAUUUUAUUAAACUCUCUCAGAUUCUUUCACAUAUAAUGCAAAUGUGAACCUCCUAUUUUAUUUUUUAGGUAAACAUUUUUUUAAUUUUUUUUAUUAUGAACUUUGCCUUAAAUGGUGGCACCCAUUUUGUUUCAACAACUUUUCCUGAUGUACUUAUUUAACUUUUAUUAAACUUUCUCAGAUUCUUAACCCUAACACUAUAAUACCAUUGUCACCUAUCUUAUUUUUUGGUCAAAAUAUUUUUCAGGUUUUAAAAACAAAACUUGAAUUGUGCAUGGGGCAGGGUUAUACUUCUAAGUUCUGGUCAGGUUUUUAUUUUUUAGCUCACCUGGCCUAAAGGGCCAAGUGAGCUUUUCUCACCACUUGGUGUCCGUUGUCCGUCAUCAUCAUGAACUUUUACAAAAAUCUUCUCUGAAACUACUGGGUCAAAUUUAACCAAACUUGGCCAACCAAGAUGCCAGCCAUGGCUAAAAAAAGAACAUAGGGAUUAAAUGUAGUUUUUGGCUUAUAACUCUGAAACCAAAGCAUUUAGAGCAAUUCUAACAAGGGGUUAGUUUGUCUACUAUGUCAAUAUCUAUCUGCCCUGAAAUUUUCAGAUGAAUCAGACAACCAGUUGGUGGCCCCUGAAUUGGUAAUUUUAAGGAAAUUUUGUCGUUUUUAUGCCCCACCUACGAUAGAAGAGGGGCAUUAUGUUUUCUGGUCUGUGGGCUAGUUUGUUCGUCCCUCCGUCUGUUUGUCCUGCUUCAGGUUAAAGUUUUUAGUCAUGGUAGUUUUUGAUGAAGUUGAAGUCCAACAAACAUGAAACUUAGUACACAUGUUCCCUAUGAUAUGAUCUUUCUAAUUUUAACGCCAAAUUAUAGUGUUGAUCCCAAUUUCACGGUUCACUGAACAUAGAAAAUGAUAGUGCAAAUUUCAGGUUAAAGUUUUUGGUCAAGGUAGUUUUUGAUGAAGUUGAAGUCCAAUCAACUUGAAACUUAGUAUACAUGUUCCCUAUGAUAUGAUCUUUCUAAUUUAAAUGCCAAAUUAGAGUUUUCACCCUAAUUUCACAUUCCAUUAAACAUAGAAAAUUAUAGUGUGAGUGGGGCAUCUGUGUACUAUGGACACAUUCUUGUUGGUUAUUAUCUUGAAUAUUAUUAUAGAUAGAGAUAAAUAGAGAUAAACUGUAAACAGCAAUAAUGUUCAGCAAAGUCAGAUCUAACAAAAUGGUCAAUUAACCCCUUAAGGAGUUAUUGCCCUUUAUAGGCAAUUUUUAACAAUUUUCAUUAAUUUGGUAAAUGUUCGUGAAUUUUCAUCUAAAGGGCCAGUUUUUUAUAGACAGAAAAUAGUAAGUAUCAAGAAUGUUCAGUAAAGUAAGAUCUACAAACAUCACCAUCACCAAAACACAAUUUUGUCAUGAACCUACAUUUUUAUCUGUCCUUUGUUUUAUAUGCACAUAGACCAAGGUGAGCGACACAGGCUCUUAAGAGCCUCUAGUUUGUCUUUGCAACCAUUUGCUUGGAUAUAUAUAAAACUUGCAUACAUUUUAAAUUUGAAUAAAGACAUUGAAAUGGAAGAUAUUCAUUUGGCUAAUUAGUCAGUAAAAUAUAUACUUUUCAAUGUAAAAAAGUGAUAUUUUAAUAAAAAAAUACAAUGAAAGUUGUGUUGCCAUGGUAACCAUUUAGUCAAAAUUUUCAUUGUUGAUAUUAAAAUUACAUGCAACUUUAAUACUGCUUUACUUACAUAAAAUUCAAUUUUCAGCUCUUAUAUAGCUUAAAUGACAAAGCAAAUCCAAUAAAAAUAACGAAUUUAAUGAUGUUAUCAUUCCAUUGAGUAGGAGGGUCUCACUCAAACAUUUUUGUUACAUAACAAAAAUUCAAAACUAUUUUAUUUACAAAAAUGAAAGAGGGUAACCGGUUAUGUAGUUUCUAAUAUAAUAUGUAUGAUUUUCCACCUGCCGCAUGCCUUUUUUAGAAAAAAUAUUAGGAAUUGUUGGUUUUUUUUUAUGUAUUUUCAGUAUGUGUCAGAUAUUGGUUUGUUUAAGGCUAUGUCCUGUCACUCAAAUUUUAUGUUUUUUUAAAAUGAUAUUAUAUUUCUGUUCAUUCAGGUCUAUAUAUUAUGAACAUGUCUUAUUUUGACCAGUUUUCAACUUUCAUCAGAAUAAAAUACCUUUAAAAAC
rnacentral:lncRNA from 1 species